rnacentral:rRNA from 1 species
UACAGAGGUCUCAAGCGCUGUUCGGAUUCAUUGGGCGUAAAGGGUGCGUAGGCGGCGCGGUAAGUCGGGUGUGAAAUCUCGGAGCUUAACUCCGAAACUGCAUUCGAUACUGCCGUGCUUGAGGACUGGAGAGGAGACUGGAAUUUACGGUGUAGCGGUGAAAUGCGUAGAUAUCGGGAGGAACACCUGAGGCGAAGGCGGGCUACUGGGCCGAUACUGACGCUGAUGCGCGAAAGCCAGGGGAGCGAUCGGG